rnacentral:rRNA from 1 species
AAACUUAAAUGAAUUGACGGGGGCCCGCACAAGCAGCGGAGCGUGUGGUUUAAUUCGAUGCAACACGAAGAACCUUACCUGGGCUUGACAUGGUCGUAGUAGUGAACCGAAAGGGGAACGAGCCUUCGGGCAGCGAUCACAGGUGCUGCAUGGCUGUCGUCAGCUCGUGUCGUGAGAUGUUGGGUUAAGUCCCGCAACGAGCGCAACCCUCGCUACUAGUUAAAUCUGUCUAGUGGGACUGCCGGAGUCAAACCGGAGGAAGGUGGGGAUGACGUCAAGUCAGCAUGGCCUUUAUGUCCAGGGCUACACACACGCUACAAUGGCCGGUACAAUGGGUCGCCAAGCCGCGAGGCGGAGCUAAUCCCAUCAAAGCCGGUCUCAGUUCGGAUUGUAGGCUGCAACCCGCCUACAUGAAGUCGGAGUUGCUAGUAACCGCAGGUCAGCUAUACUGCGGUGAAUACGUUCCCGGGCCUUGUACACACCGCCCGUCACGUCAUGGGAGCUGGUAACACCUGAAGCCGGUGAGCUAACCGUAAGGAGGCAGCUGUCGAAGGUGGGGCCGGUGACUGGGACGAAGUCGUAACAAGGUAGCUGUAGCGGAAGCUGCGGCUGGAUCACCUCCUUUCUG